AUCUCUGCUUUCAACACCAAACAAGUUCUGGUUCUAAGAAGCAACUAGUUUUAAAAAAAAAAAAAAAAAAAAAAAAAAAAGCUUCUAUCUUGAGCUUAAGUGCAUUUGUUUUUGCUGAGGGAACUGGGCCUCCUUCUCCCAUCAGUGGAGGUGGUCAUUUAUAGCAGGAAAAGAGAAGAGUGAGCCCUAGAGGGGCAGGGUCCUCCAGUGACUUGUGAUAAAGAUUCUGCUGGGGCUGGUCCUUGCUACCAGAGUGAAGCUGAGGAUGCUCACAGGUGCUUUAUGCAAACAGGAGUCUGUGUUCAAAUUAGCAUGGGAAGCAUACAGAGGCUUUGAUGGGGGAACUGUGGUGUUUUUUUGUUUUGUUUUGUUUUGUUUUUCUUUCUGCUGAGUCCCUAACAAGGUUCUGAAAUCUGAUUCCGCCUAAGACUCACUUGGGGAGUAGAGGGUGCUGGUUCAAGGCUCUGGGUCCUGAGAGUCUAAUUCAGUCCAUCUAGAAUGGCCCUGGCAAGCUUCCUUUUUAAUCCACAUCUCAGGUGAUUUUGAGGCCGCAGAUUCAGGAACCACAUUUUGAGAAAUAGGACCUGUGUUCCAAGGGGCAUCUCAGUAGCUCUGCUCCUUUCCGUGACCAGCCUUGCUGGCUCUCCUGUAUCCCUUUGCACCCAGUUUAUGCUGAGUGAACACAUCUGAGUUAUGAGCCAGGAAACUUUUUUUAAAGUCAUAAUCAUAGUAAGUGAGUCACAGACAGCAAAUCCGACCUUGGUCUAGAAUCUGCUGGGUGUCACACGUUGAGCUACAAAGACCACCUUUGUCAUUUGGACUCAGUUGGCAGAAACAGCAUGUGUGGGGUACCAAGCUGUGCAUUGAAAAUUCCUGAAGCGGUGUAAAUUUUUCUGCAGGAUGGAGGCACCUGUCUUUGUCUAACUAGCCCUGUCCUUCCUUGCAAGCGGAACAAAAGUGUUUAGAAAGGCACACCUUGAUGCCUUCAUUUGCAAAGACGUUUGUGUCUUUCAUUUGCUCUGAGUCUGUCCUGGCCUGCAGAAUGAAAAGAGCCAGAGAAAUGGGCUUUGGCAGUGGGCGUGGACUCCCACAGGCCCCUUCUAUCUGGGUAGCAAUCGGUGGCCUUGUAAGGCGUAGGAUGGGGCUUGCUGCUAAGAUGCAAGGUUCCAAUGACUUACCUGGGCUCCGGCAGCCCCCAGAGCUCCAGGCACUCCUGGGGGAGGGGAGGGGUGGCGCAGAUAGAAAAUGCAUCCUCAGACCAAUUUGCCAGACUUGGGUUGGUUCAAAGGGAGCCCAGAAGUGGGAAGGAGGAGAUACAGAAAGAAAAAUGUGAAGAAAAAUAGUGUUUUCCUGCACAUUCAACAGCCCUGCCUUGUCCUUCUCAGAACACUCAGCCAAAAAAAUGUAGAGAAGGGGCUGUACUUGUGCAUGUGCCAGAGGCCAAGAUUUCUGUGAAAGGCGGGUCUAAACAUGAGUUUUGUGUAAGCACACCUACACAGCCCCUGGUUUAAAGCUGAGGGUGACUGUCUCAAACCAGGGUGAGGGGAGAUGUGAGGUACCUUUCUUUGAAGAUUACUGCACACGGAAUGCGUUCGUCCUCCUGUCCCCCGGGUCUGCAUUUUGGGGUGUUUUGCUUGGUUUGCAUUAAUGUUGUGGCUGGUGGUCAUUUGCUCUUGGUGGCCAGUUUCACUUCCUGGUUUUGAGAAAAUGGCAGUGAGGUCUGUCGCUUGGGCAUACUGUGUCACUGCAGGAAGUGUGCAGUUUUAAAAUGUCAAAGCCAGCAGCCUCCUGUCCAGUCCAUGCCGUCAAUCAGCAAGCAUCUCUGGACGCUGACCCCCCCACCCCCUCCAGGAGCCCACCGCCAGUUAAAACUGUAGCUAACAGAUAAAGAUCUCGCCUCAAGGCUGCCUACCAUCUAACCAAGGGUGCAAGAUCAAAAGAGAAAGAAAAAUGGCAUCCACAGAAAAAAUAAAUGUGCUCACCGCUACGGUGUUUGGGGGCAAAGCAUGUCUCAGAGGAAGGGUGGCCUCCUGGGAAGGGCCGGGUGUCCGGGGUCCAGACAGACGGUGGCUUCUUCUCCUUAGCAGCUGCGUGACCAGAACUGAGGUCUUAACCUUUCAGUCCCUUCCUUUCUUCAUCAGCAAAAUAGGGGAAGGGCCUAAUGGUGCUUACUUCUUCUGUUUAUUAGGGUGAUUAAAUAAGAUUCUAGGUAUGGGAAGGCUUCUAUUAAGAGGACUAUCGUACACUGUAAAAUAGCCCAAAGAAAUCUCAGUUAUGAUUAUUGCUACAAUAACAGCAAGGAGGGAAGUCCAUCUCGAAGAUGCCUCUUCUUCCAUUUCCAGUAAAAAGAGAGAGAGAGUCAGGGACUGAGCUGGAGCCGAACUUCGGCUAGCCCAGGCCUCUGCUCUAGCCCCUCGCUUGAUACUUAAGUAAAUGGAAAGGUUUAAGUAAACUUCAAGGUUCUCAUGGUUAUCCUUCGUAUCGAAAGAUUUAAGGUGAGCUUAGCACUUCUAAGAUGUGGGGAAAUCCAAGAAAACAAGGUACUUCCUAAGAUGCCAUUUGGUUUUCAUUUCCAGGGAGCUGACCUUCGAUUUAGGAGAACUAUGCGACUGGGGAGUUGGUGUAAUUCCUUGAGAGAUCAAUCUGAUGUUCAAGAUCUAAUCAUAGUGACUAUCAGUCUAAUCACCUCUCAGUAGGUGUCUAGAUAACACAGGCAAAUAUAAGGUAACUUUGUGGUACCUGUGUGAUUGUGAGUGCCUGGGUAGCGGGAUGAACCAGGAGUUUGAAUUUGGCUCUAGUGGGAGAGUAAAUUGUGAAGCGUUCGUGAAUUUCAUAGGCCUCUCUGAAUCUUCCCUAACCUUAUAUGCCAGGUUCCCUUGGAAAUUCAUGUGAUUUCCACAGACAGAAAAUAGCAUUUAUUAAGAUUGGGUUGUGAUGAUCAUUGUACAACUAUAAAUGUAAUAAAAUUCAUUGAAUCAUUUUUUUUAAAAAAAAAGAAAAUAGCAUUAUGAAUAAUAUAUUUUUGAGAGUUCUCAUCAUGGCUCCGUGGUCAAUGAACCUGACUAGUAUCCAUGAGGAUGCGGGUUUGAUCCCUGGCCUUGCUUAGUGGAUUAAGGAUCCAGUGUUGCCUUGAGCUGUGGUGUAGGUCAGAGACGCACCUCGGAUCCCGAGUUGCUGUGGCUGCAGUGUAAGCCAGCAGCUGCAGCUCUGAUUCAACCCCUAGCCUGGGAA
ensembl:lncRNA